rnacentral:lncRNA from 1 species
GCGAACGAACCAGCCCCGCCAUAGGUGUUUCCAAGACGAGUGAUCAUUUAUGAUAGAGAUUAAGUUUGUUUAAAUUUUAUUUUGAAAUCAGGAUUAUAGGUUCAUGGCUUCCAACAGACUUAAGAAUUUGUUAUUAAUUACCCCACACUUUCAGUGUUAAGGAAUCCUCGAUUAAGAGACCGAAUAUAAAUGCUGAUAAUAAAAGAGGCCAAACAGGCAAAUUGAGUUUUAUUAAUAUAAUUUGCUGUGUACAUGGCUUAAGCAGGGGCAUUUCCCCACUGUACGUAGAUUUUAUAAAAUUAAAUAUGCAAUUUAUAGACUUGAUGGUCGAUUAAAGUUGAGAUGCUCAGUUUAGCGAAAUAGCGGUCGAUUUUGAAUUGAGUUGCUCAGUUUAAUGCAAUGGCAGUCGGUUGAAGUUGAGGUGCUCAGUUUAGUAACAUGGCAGUCGAUUUUAAAUUGAGUUGCUCAGUUUAGCGACAUGGCGAUCGAUUUGAGUUUCGGUGCUCAAUUUAAUGACAUGGCGGUGAAAAGUUCAGUUUAAAUGACUUAAUAAUUACUUGUUCAGUUUAACGACUUGACGGUUAUAUCUGAACUUGAUUUGCUCAGUUUAGUGACUUGGCAGUCGAUUGAGAUUGAAGUGCUCAGUUAGCGACAUGGCGGUCGAUUUUAGAUUGGGUUGCUUAGUUUAAUGACAUGACGGUCGUUUGAAGUUGAGGUAAUCAGUUUAGUGACGUGGCGGUUGAUUCGAGUUUUAGUGCUCAGUUUAAUGACAUGGCGGUCGGUUUGAAUUUUUGGUGCUCAGUUUAAUGACAUGGCAGUCGGUUUGAGUUUUGGUGCUCAGUUUAAUGACUUGGCGGUCGGGUGCUCGGUUUAAUGACUUAACAGUCACUCGUUCAGUUUAGCGACUUGGCGGUCAUAUCUGAACUUGAUUUGCUCAUUUUAGCGACUUUGUGGUCGAUUGAAGUUGAAAUGCUCAGUUUAGCGACAUGACGGUCGAUUUUAAAUUGAAUUGCUCAGUUUAGCAACAUGGCGGUCGAUUUGAAUUUUGGUGCUCAGUUUAAUGACAUGGCGGUCGAAUGUUCAGUUUAACGACUUGAUGGUCAAAUAUUAAGUUUAACGACUUGACGGUCAUAUCCGAAUUUGAUUUGCUCAGUUUAGCGACAUGGCGGUCGACUGAAAUCGAGAUGUUCAUGAAACUGAUUCAUGAAAUUAAUUCAUGCUAGGAGCUCGUUUGUAAAGUUCAUUAAAUUAAUUGAUCAAAUUAAUUCAUGAUAGGGGCCAUUUGGAGAGCCCAUUGAAUUGCGUUUAUAAAAUAAAUUUAUGAUAAGGAGCCAUUUGGAGGGCCCAUUAGUUCAUGAAAUUAAUUUAUGACAAAGAGGGCCGAUGAAACUAAUUCAUAAAAUUAAUUCGUGAUAGGAGGCUUAUUUGGCAAAUCCAUGAAAUUAAUUUGUAGAAUUAAUUCAUGAUAAGGGGUCCAUUUAGAAAGCCCAAGAAAUUAAUUCAUAGAAUUAAUUCAUAAAAAAUGGCCCAUUUGGAAAGCCCAUAAAUUCGGUUUGGAUUAGGGGUAUUUGGAUGAUAUAGAUUUGGUAGAUUUGAUUGUGUUUUAUUUAUGGACUUUGGAUUUUGGAUCUUUGGGUUUUAGGUUUUGGAUCUUAUUUGUGGACUUUGGAUUUUGAGUUAAGAAACUCAUUCAUAUGGAUUUUUAUUGUUUUUGAAUCCAAAUCUGCAUGUGGGUUG